GAAAANGNGUNAUNAAGNNNGGNAUAAAGGUGGNNNANGGAUAAGGNUUUAGGUAAGUAGGGNANGGAAUAAGGACCGGNUGAUUCCCGUGCCAGCAGCCCGCGGUAAUACGGAAGGUCCGGGCGUUAUCCGGAUUUAAUUGGGUUUAAAGGGAGCGCAGGCGGAAGAUUAAGCGUGACGUGAAAUGUCCCGGCUCAACCGUGGAACUGCGUCGCGAACUGGUUUUNCUUGAGUGAGUGCGACGUCGGCGGAAUUNGUGGUGUAGCGGUGAAAUGCUUAGAUAUCACGAAGAACCCCGAUUGCGAAGGCAGCCGACGAGUCCUUAACUGACGCUAAAGCUCGAAAGUGCGGGUAUCGAACAGGAUUAGAUACCCUGGUAGUCCGCACGGUAAACGAUGGAUGCCCGCUGUUGGCGAUAUAGUGUCAGCGGCCAAGCGAAAGCGUUAAGCAUCCCACCUGGGGAGUACGCCGGCAAACUUG
rnacentral:rRNA from 1 species